rnacentral:rRNA from 1 species
AUGGAGGAGAGGGCGAGGCAGCUGCUCCUCCUCGCCGCCGUCGCGGGCGUCGGCGCCGCAUUCGGCGCGCUCUCCACCGCGGCCGUCUUCAGCUUCCUCUCCAGGGCGAAGCGGAGAGAGGGAUACGUGCGCAAGCUGCUGGAAUCCAAUGGCGGUGCUGGUGGUCCGCACGCUGGCAAAACUGCACCGGGAGCACGUCUGCAUGAUAGCUCGGAUCUUCUCUCUGAUGAAGUUGUCGCUGAGCAGCUUACAAGGAAUAUACAAUUUUUUGGAGUCGAAUCUCAGAAGAAAGUUACUGAAUCUUUUGUUGUAGUCAUUGGUCUUGGAGGAGUUGGCAGUCAUGCUGCUUCCAUGCUCCUCAGAUCUGGGGUUGGCAGGUUGCUCCUAGUAGAUUUUGAUCAGGUCUCACUGUCAUCACUAAAUCGGCAUGCUGUGGCAACCAGAGAGGACGUUGGGACCCCAAAAGCAUAUUGCCUCAAGAAGCAUUUCUCAUUGAUAUAUCCAGAGUGCCAAAUAGAAGCAAGAGUGCAGUUGUAUGAUUCAUCAGCUGAGGACGAAAUUCUUUCUGGACAGCCAGAUUUUGUUCUUGAUUGCAUAGAUAACAUUGAUACUAAGGUGUCUCUUCUUGCGGCUUGCGUACGCAGAGGGUUAAGGGUACUGUCUGCAAUGGGGGCUGGAGCUCGAGCAGACCCGACCCGAAUCCGUGUUGCGGAUUUGAGAGAAUCAAGCAAUGAUCCCCUUUCUCGGGCGGUACGGUAUCGGCUGAAGAAGGAUCAUGGAAUUGAAGGUGGAAUACCAGUAGUUUUUUCAAUGGAGAAGCCCAAGGCAAAGCUACUUCCCUUUCAAGGUUCGAAAGAAGAGGAAACUCCAUCAGAUUACCAGAUUGUGCCAGGAUUCAGGGUUCGCAUUAUCCCAGUACUGGGAACUAUCCCUGCAAUAUUUGGUCAAGUUAUGGCCUCUUAUGUGGUUACUCAGCUUGCCCAGUUAGAUUUUCAAACUGAACCAAUUGUUAACCUGGAUUUGGAUCAUUACCGCAUUCUUCACCAUCGUCUUCUUGAGCACGAGGAGCUGAUAUAUGGGUCAGCUGAGCAAGUUUUGGUUGAUGCUGAAGAGGUGAUGUACAUUGUGAAAGAAUUGUGGCGUGGCCGAAGUGCUAGAGACCAAAACAUGAAGGACACUGGCUGGAAAAUGUGGAGAUCUGUCAACGAACUGAUGCUUGUUCGGUGGGACAAAUCAAAGCCUGCUGGUGUGUCAAACUUAAUACUUCUCAAGUUCAGCGAGGCGGAUGCACAUGAAUCCACAACGCUUGAUCAGAUAAAAGAUGAGGAACCUGAAUUCUACGCCAUGGUUUCACGUGUCCUGAAACGAGCCGAAACGGAGUUUGCUUUAUGA